GGGGUUGUGGCUCAGUGGUAGAGCAUUCACCUAGCACAAGUGAAGCACUGGGUUCCAUCCUCAGAACCACA
rnacentral:tRNA from 1 species